rnacentral:lncRNA from 1 species
AAAGGCUGUGUUUGUUCUAUAAGUUCUGGUGUUCCUUUCUCUAUUCGCUUGUGAAUACAGAGUGCCAUGUAACUAAUUAAUCAUGCUCAUUAUCUACUGCAUUUCUAAUAUAUGAAGCAUGCUCUACUGAGAUAUGAUAUAUGUAUAUGAAGAGAGUGAACUAAGAUAGCAUGAAAUACCUUGAAUGGUUUUGUUGGUUGGUUAUUGUUUGAAUGAACUGAUACUUGAAAAUGCUUUGGCAGAGAAUGAUGAAGAGCAAUGCAGUCUUUCCUCUUUUUGCUAGGAACGUUUGUGGAAUGGGAAUGAGAAGAUUAUGCUUGGUGAUUUCUCGAUGGAAGGAGUAGAUUUGUUGCUGUGAUGAAGAGGGUGAAUGAGGAUGGCUUUAUACUGAACUUAUGGAGAG